rnacentral:lncRNA from 1 species
AUAAAUGAUUUAUACAAUUGAAACAAUAAACAAGAAAUCCAAAAAAAAUAAAAAAAACUGGAGUCGAUCAACCUUAAUCGAAUACCAGAACAUAGUCGAUUAGCUUAAUCGACUAUGAACAUGUACAUAGUCGAUUAAGGUUUCAGCCACAAAUAAACCCAAAAUCGGCCUCCACAUCGUCCCCACACCACCCAGAGCUUCUGCCAUGGCCGAACCCGUCAUAUUUUGAGCAUGUUCAGCUCCACCAAUUAAGAAAACUAAUUUAAAUUAAUUUAAUCCCAAU